CAAGUAGUUAAUGUUAGCUUUCACAUUCCACGACAUUCAGUCUUGCUUUUUUCUUGUUUGGCAUUAGAUCCCAGGAAUUGUGAUCAUGAGGCGUCUGAAUUGGUUGCAGGCUGGACAAAGAAAAGCCGUACGUAGCACAAAGUGAAGAACCUCGGAAGAAUAGUUUUAAACGGAGAAAAGAGUUAAGUGUACGGAAGAAACGAAGCUAGGAAAGGGAUUUGUGUAAUUGAUUUGUAACAAUUUCUUUGGACACCGUUUCGUACUUUGUUACCUGGUAAAUCUGAUUCGUUCUUAUUCCGUCUCAUGGUCAAUUAAAUUAGCACCAUUCCAUUUCAUAGUUUGAUUGUAGAUUCAAAAUUCAAUGUCUGACACCGUCUUCUUACCCCAUGAAAUCCUUACGGAAAUCCUUCGCAGACUUCCGCCAAAGUCCCUUCUCAGAUUCACCACCGUCUGCAAGUCAUGGCGCUCUCUCAUCACCCACCCAUCCUUUAUCUCUCUCCACCACCGUCACUCCUCCUCCGUUCUCCUCCUUCAGUUCAGCAACCGCUUCAUCCUCCCCCACCGCCACCACCACCCCUCCACCACCCUCCGCCUCCCCUCCUUACUCCACCACGAUUAUUCCGUCGUUUCCUUCUGCAACGGCCUUGUUUGCGUCGCCUACGGUGAGCAUUGCCAAACUGUCAUCGUCUGCAACCCGUGUAUUCGACGAUUUGUCACCCUCCCCGCUCCCCUUCAGUACCCUUGCUACUACACUUCCAACGUUGCAUUAGGCUUUGAUUCCAGUAAAUGUGAUUACAAGGUGGUCAGGAUUUCUUGCAUGGUGGAUGAUGAAAGGUUCGGCCUUUCUGCUCCCGAGGUUGAGGUUUUCUCUCUUGCAACUGGGUGUUGGAGGACCCUUGAUCAUGGCAUUGCUCCUGUCUGCUACGUUGCUAGAGAUACUCCCCCUGGAUUUCACGAUGGGCUUGUUCACUGGGUUGCCAAACGCUACGUGGCUGGUGGAUGGUACAAUUUUGUUUUGUCCUUUCACUUUGAGGGUGAGAUGUUUCGUGAAGUUAUGCUGCCAGAGAGCUUGGCUCGUCGUACCUCUUGGGGUAUGAUUAAGGUUGUUGGGGGUGGCAAUGGGAAGACACUUACUGUGUACGAUGUGGAUGGGGGUUCUCCAUGCUCUUGUAACAUUUGGAUGAUGAAAGAAUAUGGUGAGGUGGAAUCUUGGAAGAAGGCCUUUUCUUUUCUUAUGAGCGGAUUUUGCUUGGAAGCACCGUCUUUGGGAAUGAUGCUCACUGACGUGGAAAUUCCACCGAUGGAAUUGUGUGUUACGUGCAGUGGAGAGGUGUUGCUGCUAGUGGAUGUGGCAGGAAGGAGAUGCCUGUAUUCGCUGGACAUAAAGAAGAAAAGUUUUACGGACCUUUACGGACUUCGAAUGAAAUAGGCGCAGGGUUUGUUUAUUGUGGUUAUUAUGCUGAGAGCUUACUUUUACUGAACAUAGCAAGUGGUGUAGUUUCUUAUUGAAGGGGUAACGACAUUCCAAUCUGAUACUUAUGCAGUCAGCUGAAUCAGACAGGGGAACGGUUCUUGUUGGAAGCAGCUUCUCCAAAUCGAUUUGAUAACCAUGCUAAUAGAAAUUUCAUCAGACAACCUUCAAAGCCGGAGCAUCCUUGAGUUUCGCAGUGCCUGUUGUGUACUUGUGUGAAUUCAGGUUGUUUUAUUUUUGAAUUCCAUUUAAAAAUUUAUGGUAAUGGCAAUAACUAUUAAUAUGAAAAGUUCUGAAA